GCAUGAUUACAUGAUAUGAACUAUUUUUUUAAUACUGUAUCCUACUUUGUGGACAAUUAAGCUAUAUAUCAUAUGUUGAAGUAUAUUUCUGGAGUGUUAAAGAUUAAAAGAAAAAAUAACAAGAGUCGUACAAACCGAAAACCGUGACCCUAAAACCUUGAUACGAACCGAACCGUGGGUUUUGUGAACCGUGCCCCCUCUACUGAAUAAUGAUGGU